GAAAUGCGAUACUUGGUGUGAAUUGCAGAAUCCCGUGAACCAUCGAGUCUUUGAACGCAAGUUGCGCCCGAAGCCGUCAGGCCGAGGGCACGCCUGCCUGGGCGUCACACGCCGUUGCCCCCCCUUCCUCCCUCGGGAGCGUCGGGGGAGCGGACGAUGGCCUCCCGUGCGACACCCCGCGCGGUUGGCACAAAUGCCGGGUCCUCGGCGACGAACGCCACGACAAUCGGUGGUUGUCAAACCUCGGUUGCCCGUUGUGCGCCUUCGUCGCGCCACGAGCGGCUCGCGAUAGCAAACAGCUCUGUUCCGGCGGAGCUUUCAACGCGACCCCAGGUCAGGCGGGGUUACCCGCUGAAUUUAA
rnacentral:misc_RNA from 1 species